UACGUAGGGGGCGAGCGUUGCCCGGAUUUAUUGGGCGUAAAGAGCUCGUAGGCGGUUUGGCAAGUCGGGUGUGAAAACUCCGGGCUCAACUCGGAGACGCCACUCGAUACUGCUAUGACUUGAGUCCGGUAGGGGAGUGCGGAAUUCCUGGUGUAGCGGUGAAAUGCGCAGAUAUCAGGAGGAACACCGGUGGCGAAGGCGGCACUCUGGGCCGGUACUGACGCUGAGGAGCGAAAGCGUGGGGAGCGAACAGG
rnacentral:rRNA from 1 species